AUUGAACGCUGGCGGCAGGCCUAACACAUGCAAGUCGAACGAGUGGCGGACGGGUGAGUAAUGUCUGGGAAACUGCCCGAUGGAGGGGGAUAACUACUGGAAACGGUAGCUAAUACCGCAUACCAUCGGAUGUGCCCAGAUGGGAUUAGCUUGUAGGUGAGGUAACGGCUCACCGAGGCGACGAUCCCUAGCUGGUCUGAGAGGAUGACCAGCCACACUAGAAUUGAGACACGGUCCAGACUCCGAUGGGCGGCAGCAGUAGGGAAUAUUGCACAAUGGGCGCAAGCCUGAUGCAGCCAUGCCGCGUGUAUGAAGAAGGCCUUCGGGUUGUAAAGUACUUUCAGCGUGGAGGCGUUACCCGCAGAAGAAGCACCGGCUAACUCCGUACCAGCAGCCGCGGUAAUAC
rnacentral:rRNA from 1 species